CUGUGUGCAUAUUUAUUGGCUUCUCCUAAAGUUAGUUAGGAUUAUAGGGGAAAGUGUCAGAGCAGCCACCAGUGAGAGUUGCUGGACACACUGUGAGGCCACCAAAUUUGGUCGUGAGACCCCCUGGGCUAGAUGCUCCUGAUGGGCCCUUCUGACCUUAGAGCCUGGGAGUGGAACAGGAGCCGGUGUAACGACAGAAACAGUGACCGCUCCAGAUUCCCGACUUUGGCAUCACGGAGCAUGCGCAGUAAACUUUGCUGUCGCCGCUGCCCUCUCUCUGCCCUCACUUCUGCUUACGAUUUGCUGCCUCCUCUUUGGGGGGGUUUAAAAGCAUCAAGGGGGGCAAAUCGCAGCGGGGGGGCUGCCAGGGUCUGAGCAGGGGGCAAAAAUUUACUGGCCAGGGGGGAUCAAACUGCUAACCUUCCCAAGUGCAAAAAUCUUCUGCAACAAUGAAGGCUUGGGCUGAUGACCAGUGGCUGCAGAACUUUUGGAUGGUCCACAUUUCUGCAUCUUUGUGCAAAACUCACCAAAAUAAAAGCUGCACUGACAGUGGAGAAGAUAAAAUAAUUGUACUACGGGGAUCUGCAACACCAGAUUAUUAUUGGUCAAUCACUGUUCUCUCUUCUAAACUAAGAUGGAAUGGAUUUCUUUAAUAUUCAGGACUGUGAGCUAAGAUCAUCAGUGAAGACUCAGGAGUUCAAGCUUCCUGGAGUGGAUUCUUCAGAUUUCCAGACAACUAUUUUCUCCAAAGAAGUUGCACCAAGCAAAAAAUUACCUCAAUACACAUAAUGGCAAGGAAAUCUUUUGAAGAAAAAAUUGCAAAUGUUUUGGCAUACAUAAGGAGUAGCACAUAUCCUGAAGGAAUGAAUAAAGCAGGCAGACUGAACCUGCGUCGAUAUGCUGUCAACUUUUCAUUGGAAGAGGGGAGAUUGUUCCAUUCAGCAAAAGGAAGAAAGGUUGUCGUUGUACAUACCAUGAAAGAAGCCCUGCAACUCUUUAAAAGGUAUCAUGACAGUCCAGCGGGUGGACAUCUAGGAAUAUUCAAAACCAGGAAUGCGCUGACAUCAAAAUACUAUUGGCCAGGGAUGACAAAAGACAUUGCCAAUUGGGUUGCACAGUGUCUGACUUGCCAGAAAGAGGGAAAGCAAUCAAAUCUGGAUACCACCUUGAAAAGCACAGAGGUCACUCGGAUCUGGGAAUUGGUGGGAAUGGAUUUAAUUGGACCGUUACCAGUAACAAAGAAUGGAUACCAGUAUAUACUUACAGCCAUAGAUUAUCUUUCAAGAUGGGUGGAAGCCUUUCCACUUAGAAAUAAGUCAUCAUCUGAGGUGGUAGAGAUCAUGUUCAGCAUGAUUCUUCGACGUGGAUGCCCACAGCGGAUACUGACAGAUCGUGGUGCAGAAUUCAAUAAUAAGGUAAUGAUUUCUUUUUUUCUGGUUAUUUGUACUAUGUACUCAAACUCACUGUCAGGUCACCCAUAGAUCUCAAACAACCACCAUCUUUUCUUUUUAUAUAUAUAAACUGCUG